rnacentral:lncRNA from 1 species
UGGCAGAGGGAAAUAUCCAGGCAGACAUCGAGACUAUUCACCCCCUUACGGUCGUGGAAGAGAAGCUGGCAGGUUUCUGGGCAAAAGUUAUGAUAGACCUGGUUAUGGUGCAGGGCAAGUUAGAGGCGAAGGUCUACCUAGAAGUAACGCAAAUGUACGGCCAAGAGAUGGUGAUUGGAUGUGCAUGGAUCCAUUGUACGUGCUGUUUUUCUCCUCCUAUUUUUUUUUAGCAUUGAGUUAGGUCUACCUAGAAGUAACCCAAAUGUACGGCCAAGAGAUGGUGAUUGGAUGUGCAUGGAUCCAUUGUACGUGCUGUUUUUCUCCUCCUAUUUUUUUUUAGCAUUGAGUUAUCCUUUCAACGUGUUUGAUUUGAUUUCCUUUCUCCUGUUCAAAUGUUCUUCUUUCGUGGUCUUAAAAUGUUUUCUUCUUCUUUGUUAAGAUUUUGAUUAUUUAGAAUUGCUUACAUUGAAUUAUGAGAACUUCAAUAUAUCAAGCAGUCAUGUUGUAAUAGCUGAAUAAGGAUCAGUUGCAUGGGAGUUGGAGCCGUUAGAACUUAUUGAAAACCAACUUUCAAUUGAAGCACUUAAACAUGUUUCUACUCAUUGAUUGGUUUGAAUUCCCAUAUCUAUCAAAUUCCUACAUAGGGCUGGCAUCUAAUUCAUCAAACUAUCUUUAAGUGGAUAAUUCUCGAAAACUAAGAACACGGGGCUGAAAGGUUUGAUUCACAUUCCUUGUUUUAACGGGAACACUUUGGACCAGCUCAAUUCAGGAAAUUCAAAGGGUAGGAGGUAUGGAGGAAGGAAAGCAUUUGAGCUCAUUAUAGUGUGCCGACUUGUGCAAGGCAACAAUAGUUGGCCGUCUAUCAUCUUCUAUAUGGUAGGCUUGGUAAAAAGGCGAGACCAUAAGUGAAAGGACAUACCAGGCCCCAAGGGAUUGGGCAUUCCUUCAUGUCAGGAGGCUCGUCACCCUCUCAUGAAAAUGGUCUUACCUCUCCUGACGGUUUAGGCUUAUGUCAUUUCUUUUGAAUUUAUAAUCUUAAAGUAUGAACAAUGAAUAUUUAUAUAUCCAACCUCAACUUGCUUGAGGUUGAGAUGUAGUAGUCAUUGUUGUUAUAUUAUGCACAAGUAAGACAUUGCUUGCUGUAUGAACAAGCGAGCUAAUUUAACUUUCUUUCCGGAAGACUUGUUUAAAUUUAUUUGUUUCCUCAGGUUUUAAAGGUUUCAAAAUGAGCUAAAUGAUUCUUGCUAAUUAGCUAACAUCAUCUGAAGCUUUCUUGCGUCUACCUGGUAUCCUUAAGAUCCCUUAAGUAUCAUAUAAAAAAGGACAUACAGCGUAAAAUUCCCAUAUCUUGAACACGAUUCUACUCAUUGAUCUUGUUUGAAUUGCAGUAAAUGGGUUUUGCACCUAUGAUUCCUGCAAUUUGCCUUCAGGUCUCCGUAAGGUCAUUCAAGUCAGGUUUUUUUGUUAUUGGGAUAGGUGAAUUCUUAUAGAUCUAUCCCCCGAGGGAACUGAACAUGAUAAUUUUUAAUCAUCCAGCUCGAGCAAGAAUAAAAAGAACCAAAUGAAUCCAUAUAUCCAUA